rnacentral:rRNA from 1 species
GACGUAGGGCGCGAGCGUUGUCCGGAUUUAUUGGGCGUAAAGAGCUCGUAGGCGGCUUGUCGCGUCGUCCGUGAAAACUUGGGGCUCAACUCCAAGCUUGCGGUCGAUACGGGCAGGCUAGAGUUCGGUAGGGGAGACUGGAAUUCCUGGUGUAGCGGUGAAAUGCGCAGAUAUCAGGAGGAACACCGGUGGCGAAGGCGGGUCUCUGGGCCGAUACUGACGCUGAGGAGCGAAAGCGUGGGGAGCGAACAGG